AGCACUUCGAGUCAAUCUUAAGGCUCGUACAGACUACAUGACUUUGAAACGUAGGUCCGAACUGUGCGGUUCACACUACAUGACUUGCUCUCUGUGAAAUCAGGAGUGUUCACGUUGUUGAGCAGUUCACACCACACGACACAACGUGAAUGCCCCACAACAGGAGGUAACGCACUACACGAGUUGAGAACAACUCAAUUACCCAACGAUUCUAUCUUGUCUACAAACCCCGUUCUGUCACGAAAAAUCACGCGAUAAAACAAACCGGAAAUGACGCGAAACUACACGCGCGCCGGUAAAAACCCACAGAAGAAGAAACAAGACGCGCAAAACUUUUGUUUGUAUAUAUAGACUUCAGACAGAAAUAAGUGCUGCAAACCGUUUGCGCGAUGCAAAGCCGCAAAAGAAAAAAAUUAUAGAGAUGUGAUGUGGAGCGGUGGAUCAGAACCACACGCGGACAGCAGGGAUUAAAGAUUUGAGAAUAGGACAGGCUUCGCAAAACAUGAUUUGGAGAGCGUUUGUCUUUGACCCUGCGAUUCUAUGCAACAGGUGACACGUUCAAGUUCAUCAGGUUCAAGUCCAGGAUGGGAGACCAGCACCAUCUCACAAAUAGUUUUGGAUGUUCUGCUCUGUACCAGGUUAUAAAGGACGAUUUCUUGAAGGUAGGGUUAUUACAAAAUAUAAAGA